UUAUCAGUGAGGUUUAUUCUUACCUGUUGUCUUAAUAAGAAGACUGCAGAACAUGAUGAUUGAGUGUGUGAUUAUAUUCCACAUCCAUCAAAGAACUGCAACUCUUUGAUGAAUCCUAUCUGAU
ensembl:snoRNA U8 U8 small nucleolar RNA